AUUGAACGCUGGCGGCAGGCUUAACACAUGCAAGUCGAGCGGAGAUGAGGUGCUUGCACCUUAUCUUAGCGGCGGACGGGUGAGUAAUGCUUAGGAAUCUGCCUAUUAGUGGGGGACAACAUUCCGAAAGGAAUGCUAAUACCGCAUACGUCCUACGGGAGAAAGCAGGGGAUCUUCGGACCUUGCGCUAAUAGAUGAGCCUAAGUCGGAUUAGCUAGUUGGUGGGGUAAAGGCCUACCAAGGCGACGAUCUGUAGCGGGUCUGAGAGGAUGAUCCGCCACACUGGGACUGAGACACGGCCCAGACUCCUACGGGAGGCAGCAGUGGGGAAUAUUGGACAAUGGGCGGAAGCCUGAUCCAGCCAUGCCGCGUGUGUGAAGAAGGCCUUUUGGUUGUAAAGCACUUUAAGCGAGGAGGAGGCUUCCUAGAUUAAUACUCUGGGAUAGUGGACGUUACUCGCAGAAUAAGCACCGGCUAACUCUGUGCCAGCAGCCGCAGUAACAC
rnacentral:rRNA from 1 species